UACGGGGGGAGCAAGCGUUGUUCGGAUUUACUGGGCGUAAAGGGUUUGUAGGUGGCUUGUUAAGUCAGACGUGAAAUCCCUCAGCUUAACUGGGGAACUGCGUCUGAUACUGGUGAGCUUGAGUGCAGGAGAGGAACGCGGAAUUCCAGGUGUAGCGGUGAAAUGCGUAGAUAUCUGGAGGAACACCGGUGGCGAAGGCGGCGUUCUGGACUGCAACUGACACUGAAAAACGAAAGCCAGGGGAGCAAACGGG
rnacentral:rRNA from 1 species